CCCGACUGGCUCCACCACUGUCAGCACGAUUCAUUGGGUCUGUAGCUCAGGUGGUUAGAGCGCACCCCUGAUAAGGGUGAGGUCGGUGGUUCGAGUCCUCCCAGACCCACCACUCUGGAUGUCUUGAUUGCGCAUACGAAUUUCAAAGUUUGAGCGCGGGCGUUGAGGCCUGUGUUCUGCUCUUUAACAACUUGUGAUGUAGCGAGCGUUUUAGAUGAUCAUCUAGACGUGUCGUGAGGCUAAGGCGGGGGAGUGAUCCCCUGAAAAUUGAGUCGUUAUAUUCGCGCCGGGGCUUUGUACCCCCUGGCAACAGCACAGGAUCCGUCCGGUGCUGAAAAAGGACCUCGAGGCAACUUGAGGUUAUAUGGUCAAGCGAAU
rnacentral:misc_RNA from 1 species